rnacentral:rRNA from 1 species
AUACGUAGGGUGCAGGCGUUAAUCGGAAUUACUGGGCGUAAAGCGUGCGCAGGCGGUUUGCUAAGACAGGUGUGAAAUCCCCGGGGCUUAACCUGGGAAUUGCGCUUGUAACUGGCAGGCUAGAGUGUAGCAGAGGGGGGUAGAAUUCCACGUGUAGCAGUGAAAUGCGUAGAUAUGUGGAGGAAUACCGAUGGCGAAGGCAGCCCCCUGGGUUAACACUGACGCUCAUGCACGAAAGCGUGGGGAGC